CUCUGUCACAUGCAGAGAGAUUCUGUUUUCUGCUGAGGCCUGUCUGAAGGCUCUACAAUCAACUAGAAGCCAGAGUCUGUGUCUUCAACAAAGAAGGGUUGUCUCAGAGCUCCAUGGAAAAGGACUGCGGCAGAGGCACGGAAGCGCAUCCGUGGAAAUCCAUCCCUUCCGACUUCCUUACACCUAUACAAAAGCCUGCAGUUGAUGCCCAGGACUCCAGAUCAGUACAUUCUGUGACAACUAAGGCACAGUGGAACAAGAAGGGCCCAACCACAUAAAGCUCCAGGAGAGUAGGAAUUAGUCUUGCUCUCAACGACAUUCCUGGCACCCAGCAGAAUACCUAGCCUAGUAGGCAACAAAUGAAUACUGGAUGAAUAAAUCUAUGAAUCCAUCAAGAAGCAAGCUUGAGAAUGAGGCCAAAACACAGAGGAAGGCAAAAGAGCAAUGAAGCUGAGCAAAGACACCAGAUUACCCAACUCUGAAACCCAUCCAACCUCUGGACUUCAUUGUUGUGAG